UACAGAGGUCCCAAGCGUUGUUCGGAUUCACUGGGCGUAAAGGGUGCGUAGGUGGUUGGGUAAGUUUGAUGGGAAAUCUCCGGGCUUAACCCGGAAACUGCAUUGAAUACUAUCUGGCUAGAGGGUUGGAGGGGGGACUGGAAUACUUGGUGUAGCAGUGAAAUGCGUAGAUAUCAAGUGGAACACCAGUGGCGAAGGCGAGUCCCUGGACAACUCCUGACACUGAGGCACGAAAGCUAGGGGAGCAAACAGG
rnacentral:rRNA from 1 species